rnacentral:tRNA from 1 species
UGGGGUGUAGCCAAACGGUUUGGCGGCGGACUGUUAAUCCGUGUCUAUGACAAUGUGGGUUCGAAUCCCUCCACCCCAGCCA